AUGUGCCUUGCAAAAUCAAGUGGAGGCAUGGGGUUCAGAGAUUUACACGCUUUUAACUUAGCGCUGCUGGCUAAACAGAGUUGGAGGAUCAUUACUCAUCCCGAAUCUUUAUGUGCCCAAGUUCUUAGAGCAAAAUAUUUCCCUGACGAUAAUAUACUACAGGCAGGACCGAAGAAAGGUUCCUCCUACACAUGGCAAAGCAUUUGGGCGGGAUUACAAACUUUUAGGAGAGGACACGUUUGGGGGGUCAGAUCUGGUGAGAGAAUUGGUAUAUGGGAUGAUCAUUGGAUCCCCUCGAGCCCCACAAGGAUGGUGUUCGCAAGGAGAGGCAAUACAUUGCUGAGAAAAGUAAAUGAAUUGAUGAUUCCUGACACGAGGAUGUGGGAUGAAGACCUGAUUAGAAGUAUGUUUCUCCCGGUGGAUGCUGAGAACACUUUAAGAAUCCCUUUGUCGGAGCACCUUGUUGAGGAUUUUGUAGCAUGGAACAGAACCAAAUCUUUCUCCUUCUCUGUAAAAUCUGCGUAUUACACUGAAUGGGAGCAUCAGUUCGGGGCGAGAAUUAACAGUACCCAAGGUUCAGCUGCAAUCAAUCCAGUGUGGGAUAUAGUCUGGAAGUUGGAAGUUCCCAGCAAAAUCAAAAUCUUUAUUUGGCGGGCACUCCAUGGUCUGAUUCAGGGAAUGGCCGUCUUAGCUCAUAGACACAUCAAGGUCUCGCCGGUUUGCCCAAUAUGCCAAACAGGGCUUGAGGAUGUCAAACACCUGCUGUUCUCAUGCCCACGUGCUUCCCAAGUUUGGCGAGCCCUUGGACUAGACGAAAUCAUAGAUCAAGCACUACAGGUUGAUCGCUCUGGCUCGGUGGUGCUUGAGGAAAUUCUAAGGAGGCCGAGAGGUCCCUCCCCGGUUCUUGGUUAG
rnacentral:rRNA from 1 species